UUCUCCGAGGAGCGUUGCGACGAAUCGCCCGAUUCGCCAGGCUCGGAUACUUCUGCAACCGCGCUCACGUUAC
rnacentral:ncRNA from 2 species